UUUAUAAUCUGGCACCUUCGGUGUCCGAGUUGUAAUCUCUAGAAAUGUUUUCCGCGCUGGACCGCACACAAGUCUGUUGGAAUACAGCGGCAUAGUGGUGAGACCCCCGUAUAUGGUGCGGAUGCCCAGCGCUUUGUGAUACAUUUUCGAAGAGUCGAGUUGUUUGGGAAUGCAGCUCAAAUUGGGUGGUAAAUUCCAUCUAAAGCUAAAUAUUGGCGAGAGACCGAUAGCGAACAAGUACCGUGAGGGAAAGAUGAAAAGCACUUUGGAAAGAGAGUUAACAGUACGUGAAAUUGUUGGAAGGGAAACGCUUGAAGUCAGACUUGCUUGCCGAGCAAUCGGUUUGCAGGCCAGCAUCAGUUUUCCGGGAUGGAUAAUGGUAGAGAGAAGGUAGCAGUUUCGGCUGUGUUAUAGCUCUCUACUGGAUACAUCUUGGGGGACUGAGGAACGCAGUGUGCCUUACGGCGGGGGUU
rnacentral:rRNA from 1 species